UACGUAGGGGGCAAGCGUUGUCCGGAAUCAUUGGGCGUAAAGCGCGUGUAGGCGGCUCGAUAAGUCUGCUGUGAAAGUCCAAGGCUCAACCUUGGGAUGCCGGUGGAUACUGUCGAGCUCGAGUCCGGAAGAGGAGUGUGGAAUUCCUGGUGUAGCGGUGAAAUGCGUAGAUAUCAAGCGGAACACCAGUGGCGAAGGCGAGUCCCUGGACAACACCUGACACUGAGGCACGAAAGCUAGGGGAGCAAACAGG
rnacentral:rRNA from 1 species